rnacentral:rRNA from 1 species
UACGUAGGGUGCAAGCGUUAAUCGGAAUUACUGGGCGUAAAGCGUGCGCAGGCGGUGAUGUAAGACAGAUGUGAAAUCCCCGGGCUCAACCUGGGAACUGCAUUUGUGACUGCAUUGCUGGAGUGCGGCAGAGGGGGAUGGAAUUCCGCGUGUAGCAGUGAAAUGCGUAGAUAUGCGGAGGAACACCGAUGGCGAAGGCAAUCCCCUGGGCCUGCACUGACGCUCAUGCACGAAAGCGUGGGGAGCAAACAGG